GACGAGGGACCUAGCGUUGUUCGGAAUGAUUGGGCGUAAAGCGUCCGCAGGUGGCAGUUCAAGUCUGCUGCCAAAGACCGGGGCUUAACUUCGGAAAGGCAGUGGAAACUGAACAGCUAGAGUAUGGUAGGGGCAGAGGGAAUUCCUGGUGUAGCGGUGAAAUGCGUAGAGAUCAGGAAGAACAUCGGUGGCGAAGGCGCUCUGCUGGACCAUAACUGACACUCAGGGACGAAAGCUAGGGGAGCGAAUGGG
rnacentral:rRNA from 1 species